rnacentral:tRNA from 1 species
GCACCCAUAGCUCAAUUGGAUAGAGCGCCUGGCUACGGACCAGGAGGUUGUGGAUUCGAGCUCUGCUGGGUGCGCCA